rnacentral:tRNA from 13 species
GGGGAUGUAGCUCAGGGGUAGAGCAUCUGCUUUGCACGCAGAGGGUCAAGGGUUCGAUUCCCUUCAUCUCCACCA